rnacentral:rRNA from 1 species
GACGAACGCUGGCGGCGUGCUUAACACAUGCAAGUCGAACGGAAAGGCCCUGCUUUUGUGGGGUGCUCGAGUGGCGAACGGGUGAGUAACACGUGAGUAACCUGCCCUUGACUUUGGGAUAACUUCAGGAAACUGGGGCUAAUACCGGAUAGGAGCUCCUGCUGCAUGGUGGGGGUUGGAAAGUUUCGGCGGUUGGGGAUGGACUCGCGGCUUAUCAGCUUGUUGGUGGGGUAGUGGCUUACCAAGGCUUUGACGGGUAGCCGGCCUGAGAGGGUGACCGGCCACAUUGGGCCUGAGAUACGGCCCAGACUCCUACGGGAGGCAGCAGUGGGGAAUAUUGCACAAUGGGCGGAAGCCUGAUGCAGCAACGCUGCGUGCGGGAUGACGGCCUUCGGGUUGUAAACCGCUUUCGCCUGUGACGAAGCGUGAGUGACGGUAAUGGGUAAAGAAGCACCGGCUAACUACGUG